GACGAACGCUGGCGGCGUGCCUAAUACAUGCAAGUCGAACGAGAGCGACCGGUGCUUGCACUGGUCAAUCUAGUGGCGAACGGGUGAGUAACACGUGGGUAACCUGCCCAUCAGAGGGGGAUAACAUCCGGAAACGGAUGCUAAAACCGCAUAGGUCUUCGAACCGCAUGGUUUGAAGAGGAAAAGAGGCGCAAGCUUCUGCUGAUGGAUGGACCCGCGGUGCAUUAGCUAGUUGGUGAGGUAACGGCUCACCAAGGCCGUGAUGCAUAGCCGACCUGAGAGGGUGAUCGGCCACAUUGGGACUGAGACACGGCCCAAACUCCUACGGGAGGCAGCAGUAGGGAAUCUUCCGCAAUGGACGCAAGUCUGACGGAGCAACGCCGCGUGAGUGAAGAGGGUUUUCGGAUCGUAAAACUCUGUUGUUAGAGAAGAACAAGUGCUAGAGUAACUGUUAGCGCCUUGACGGUAUCUAACCAGAAAGCCACGGCUAACUACGUG
rnacentral:rRNA from 1 species